UAGGGAAUCUUCGGCAAUGGGGGGAACCCUGACCGAGCAACGCCGCGUGAGUGAAGAAGGUUUUCGGAUCGUAAAGCUCUGUUGUUAAGGAAGAACGAGUGUGAGAAUGGAAAGUUCAUACUGUGACGGUACUUAACCAGAAAGGGACGGCUAACUACGUGCCAGCAGCCGCGGUAAUACGUAGGUCCCGAGCGUUGUCCGGAUUUAUUGGGCGUAAAGCGAGCGCAGGCGGUUAGAUAAGUCUGAAGUUAAAGGCAGUGGCUCAACCAUUGUAGGCUUUGGAAACUGUUUAACUUGAGUGCAGAAGGGGGGAGUGGAAUUCCAUGUGUAGCGGAGAAAUGCGUAGAUAUAUGGAGGAACACCGGUGGCGAAAGCGGCUCUCUGGUCUGUAACUGACGCUGAGGCUCGAAAGCGUGGGGAGCGAACAGG
rnacentral:rRNA from 1 species